AGAAACUUCCAAGAAAAUCGUGGAGGAACCAUGUCCACAGAUUAUUGUCACCAAGGUGUCACAUAAAUAUCAGCAGAAAUAUCAAAUACAGAAAAUUGUAAUUUACAACUGUUAUAAACUAAAGACGUAUCAGAAAUUAGAAAUGGUUGCAAUGCAAAAAUUGAAUUAAUACCAUCAUUGUCUCACAUUUCAUCAUGGACAAUGAGUGAAAUGUAAUAAUUCUCUCAAAAAAUGUACGUCACCAAGUGCUGAGAAAAAGGAAGUCAAAAGAGCGAAACUUUGCGAUACCACGGGUAGAAUUUUCUUACAGCAAUAGAGUAUGCAGAAAAUUAUUUGGAUGGAUAAACCAUAUGUAUAUCAGUCAAGCCGACAAUGUGGCUUUACAUGAUGACAGCGUUUAUGUUCACAUUCAGUGGUCGAACAAGAUAUUUUUAGGCAUAUAACGUGUCGGAUCGAUCACGAAUAUUUGAAAGAAACCUGCCUCAAGUUGCACGAUAAUAAGAUAAUAGUCGGAUUUUUAUCGAUGGAACGACGUUGCUGGACGUGUGAUGUUUUAUUUCUUAUCAUCUUGGCGCGGACGUAAAUUACUGCUUGUCCUUGGCGUGAUAGACAAAUUUAUCUAUUCCUUUAUGGUCCUGAUCAUUGGAUAAUGGAGACUUGGAAAUUUGCUUUGUAUACACAUUGGAUGAAUUUUCCGUGUAACAUAGAAUCCUGAAGAUGAUGAUUCUAGAUGUCAUUUAUCUCAGCACGAAGCCAUCUAAUGAGAGUCGUGCUUGGAUUUUAUAUCUUCAGCCACUCGUCCUAUUUGAUUUUCUUUGUAAACGCCAUGUUGCUUGAGCUAGCCAUUUUGUACUCGUAUGAUUUAAGUAGCAAACAUCACCAUGACAGCAACAGAUGUUCUCCGGCAUCAAUUCUUCUUCUUCUUAUUUUUUUGUUGACAAGGAACAGAUGAAUAGUUAAGAACUGAUCAUACUGCCAGAGUACCUUCAAAUAAUAUUAUAUAAGAAGGCUUGAUAUAUAAUUUUAGAGGAAACACUGCAAGCUUCUUCUUGUAUAUCGAAUAAAAAGAUUAUCAUCAGUC